ACUAAAACAGACCUGUUUCGAAAAGGAAAGCUGGCGAGAGAUCUUAACGCAGAGUUGAUUAUCCCUAACCAUAUGGGAGAUAAUUGGCGGGCUUUAAAAACUAGAGGUGAUGGUAACUGCGUGAACAUUUCUUUGUUAUAUCUACGUAUCUUUCUCUGCUGUUGGAGGAGUGAUAUUAUCAACGAAAGAAGAAGAAUAACAUUUAUUAUUACUUGUUGCCUGCCUUUGGUACGAUGAUUACAUCUUGAACAUUUCUUUGUUAUAUCUACGUGUCUUUUUCUGCUGUUGUUGGACGAGUGGUAUCAAGUGUGAUUAAUGGUCAAAAACUUGUGCUUCAUUUGUGAGAUAUAAAAGGUUUCUUUGCGUUUCACGACAAAAAAUGUGCCAAGCUUCUACCUUUUCAAAAUCACUCAUGGAUUGGAAUGAUACCUUCCUGAUUGUAAGUUUUGGCGAAGGUAUGAAACUUGAUAAAUCUGAUAAUAGUAACGAAAAUGUUUAAAGGUUAUUGAAAUUUUAGAUUUUAUAUCAUUGAAAUUUGCGAAAAGUUUACAAACUAAGUAAAGCCAAGUUUUUUUUAAA